rnacentral:rRNA from 1 species
UACGUAGGGGGCAAGCGUUGUCCGGAUUCAUUGGGCGUAAAGCGCGUGUAGGCGGCCAGGUAGGUCCGACGUGAAAACUGGAGGCUCAACCUCCAGCUGUCGUUGGAAACCAUCUGGCUAGAGUCCGGAAGAGGAGAGUGGAAUUCCUGGUGUAGCGGUGAAAUGCGCAGAUAUCAGGAAGAACACCAAUGGCGAGGGCAGCUCUCUGGGACGGUACUGACGCUGAGACGCGAAAGCGUGGGGAGCGAACAGG